rnacentral:rRNA from 1 species
AGCGGGAAGUAGUUUACUACUUUGCCGGCGAGCGGCGGACGGGUGAGUAAUGUCUGGGAAACUGCCUGAUGGAGGGGGAUAACUACUGGAAACGGUAGCUAAUACCGCAUAACGUCUUCGGACCAAAGUGGGGGACCUUCGGGCCUCACGCCAUCGGAUGUGCCCAGAUGGGAUUAGCUAGUAGGUGGGGUAAUGGCUCACCUAGGCGACGAUCCCUAGCUGGUCUGAGAGGAUGACCAGCCACACUGGAACUGAGACACGGUCCAGACUCCUACGGGAGGCAGCAGUGGGGAAUAUUGCACAAUGGGCGCAAGCCUGAUGCAGCCAUGCCGCGUGUGUGAAGAAGGCCUUCGGGUUGUAAAGCACUUUCAGCGAGGAGGAAGGCCAAUAACUUAAUACGUUGUUGGAUUGACGUUACUCGCAGAAGAAGCACCGGCUAACUCCGUGCCAGCAGCCGCGGUAAUACGGAGGGUGCAAGCGUUAAUCGGAAUUACUGGGCGUAAAGCGCACGCAGGCGGUUUGUUAAGUCAGAUGUGAAAUCCCCGCGCUUAACGUGGGAACUGCAUUUGAAACUGGCAAGCUAGAGUCUUGUAGAGGGGGGUAGAAUUCCAGGUGUAGCGGUGAAAUGCGUAGAGAUCUGGAGGAAUACCGGUGGCGAAGGCGGCCCCCUGGACGAAGACUGACGCUCAGGUGCGAAAGCGUGGGGAGCAAACA